GAUGAACGCUAGCUACAGGCUUAACACAUGCAAGUCGAGGGGAAACGGCAUUUAGUGCUUGCACCGAAUGGACGUCGACCGGCGCACGGGUGAGUAACGCGUAUCCAACCUACCCAUUACUGUGGGAUAACCUGCCGAAAGGCAGACUAAUACCGCAUAGUCUUCGAUGACGGCAUCAGAUUUGAAGUAAAGAUUUAUCGGUAAUGGAUGGGGAUGCGUCUGAUUAGCUUGUUGGCGGGGUAACGGCCCACCAAGGCAACGAUCAGUAGGGGUUCUGAGAGGGAGGUCCCCCACAUUGGAACUGAGAUACGGUCCAAACUCCUACGGGAGGCAGCAGUGAGGAAUAUUGGUCAAUGGGCGCGAGCCUGAACCAGCCAAGUAGCGUGCAGGAUGACGGCCCUAUGGGUUGUAAACUGCUUUUGUAUGGGGAUAAAGUCAAUCACGUGUGAUUGUUUGCAGGUACCAUACGAAUAAGGACCGGCUAAUUCCGUGCCAGCAGCCGCGGUAAUACGGAAGGUCCGGGCGUUAUCCGGAUUUAUUGGGUUUAAAGGGAGCGUAGGCCGGAGAUUAAGUGUGUUGUGAAAUGUAGACGCUCAACGUCUGACUUGCAGCGCAUACUGGUUUCCUUGAGUACGCACAACGUUGGCGGAAUUCGUCGUGUAGCGGUGAAAUGCUUAGAUAUGACGAAGAACUCCGAUUGCGAAGGCAGCUGACGGGAGCGCAACUGACGCUUAAGCUCGAAGGUGCGGGUAUCGAACAGG
rnacentral:rRNA from 1 species